rnacentral:rRNA from 1 species
GACGAACGCUGGCGGCGUGCUUAACACAUGCAAGUCGAACGGAAAGGCCCUGCUUUUGUGGGGUGCUCGAGUGGCGAACGGGUGAGUAACACGUGAGUAACCUGCCCUUGACUUUGGGAUAACUUCAGGAAACUGGGGCUAAUACCGGAUAGGAGCUCCUGCUGCAUGGUGGGGGUUGGAAAGUUUCGUCGGUUGGGGAUGGACUCGCGGCUUAUCAGCUUGUUGGUGGGGUAGUGGCUUACCAAGGCUUUGACGGGUAGCCGGCCUGAGAGGGUGACCGGCCACAGUGGGACUGAGAUACGGCCCAGACUCCUACGGGAGACAGCAGUGGGGAAUAUUGCACAAUGGGCGGAAGCCUGAUGCAGCAACGCCGCGUGCGGGAUGACGGCCUUCGGGUUGUAAACCGCUUUCGCCUGUGACGAUGCGUGAGUGACGGUAAUGGGUAAAGAAGCACCGGCUAACUACGUG